GAUGAACGCUAGCGGCAGGCUUAAUACAUGCAAGUCGAGGGGUAACAGGUGUAGCAAUACAUGCUGACGACCGGCGCACGGGUGCGUAACGCGUAUGCAACUUGCCUCUAACUGGGGAAUAGCCCCGAGAAAUCGGGAUUAAUACCCCAUAACAUUUAUCUUUCGCAUGAUUGAUAAAUUAAAGCUCCGGCGGUUAGAGAUGGGCAUGCGUGACAUUAGCUAGUUGGUGAGGUAACGGCUCACCAAGGCUGCGAUGUCUAGGGGUUCUGAGAGGACAUUCCCCCACACUGGUACUGAGACACGGACCAGACUCCUACGGGAGGCAGCAGUAAGGAAUAUUGGGCAAUGGACGCAAGUCUGACCCAGCCAUGCCGCGUGCAGGAUGAAGGCCCUAUGGGUUGUAAACUGCUUUUGUACGGGAAGAAUCUUCCGCACGUGUGCGGAAUUGACGGUACCGUGCGAAUAAACACCGGCUAACUCCGUGCCAGCCGCCGCGGUAAUAC
rnacentral:rRNA from 1 species